UCUUUUUUUACUUAUUUAAAAAUAAGUUGUGAAAUGAAAGGUACAUUUACACAUGUACACACGAAACACUAAUAUAGCUUUUUGGUGGUUGUUUAGUUUAAAAUCAACUCCCUAUCCAUCAUCCCUAGAUAUUCUACUUAUCGUAUUGCUUCAUGAACACCUUAGUCAUUUUUUACUUUACGUAUAUAUUUUUUUAUCAUCUCAAGAAAUGCAUUUUGAAUUGAAUGAACUAUCUUCUAAGCUAAGAUACUCAAAUUUAACUUUUAGCCACCUUAUAUGGGAGAGCCUGGAAACUAAAGGGGACCAGGGACCAUUUGACCAAAAGAGGUGUUUGGUGGAGUUUCUGCAUUUCAAAGAAGAAAGGCCAGAUAGGUCAUCACAAUUCAUUGUAUUAUUCUUUUUUUUUCCCCUUAAUGUUUAUGCAAAUUUUAUUUUAUAUUUCUGAAUUUGGUUAGCACAUACUAAGCCAAAGACUAUUCUAAAUGCAUUUAUAGUGAAUACUAUGUAUGCCCAUGGUAAUGGGUCCUCCCUAAGGAGUGGUGAAUGUAAUUGUGUGAAUCCUGCUUAUCACAAGUGGUGCAAUUUGGUCAUAAACUUUAUUUAUACCCUGUAUACAUCUGAAUAACAGAGCACCUGCUUCAGCCUCCCAAGUAGCUGGGAUUACAGGCGCCCACCACCGCACCCGGCUAAUUUUUGUAUUUUUAGUAGGGACGGGAUUUCUCCGUGUUGGCCAGGCUUUUUGAACUCCUGACCUUAGGUGAUCUGCCUGCCUUGGCCUCCCAAAGUGCUGGGAUUACAGGUAUGAGCCACUGUGCCCAUCCUCAUGUCAAUUUUUAAAGUGAUAAAUCCUGAUAUUAUACAUUGCAAUUAGUGUAGAAUAAACGCUUGGCUUAUAGAACUCUCUGUUCUUAGUCUAAAGCUGUUCCCAAACCAGGUCAUCCUCACGAAACAUUCUUGACCAAGAAAAAAGAUAAGGUCAUUGAGAUAGGAAGACAGAGGAAAAGCCUCUUGCUGUUGUUUCUUCCCAAGAAAGGAGAAGCCCUGCCAGGGAGAAGUCAGUAGUAUUGCUGACUCACUGUAUCACUGAGUGUAGGGUGUGGUAGCAAGGAGGAGGCAGGGGAUUCACGCUGACAGGUGGCUCUGGCCUGGCUCUUGGGGGGCCUUCUGAAGACCAGUCUGCAGUUUGAGGAAGGGCCCCAACAAUUCAUUUGGAGAGCUUGGCCAAAUACUUUCUCAUUAAAUCAGCACCUAAACUUGAUGAACUUAAAGUUUGUUUAUUAGAGUUGAAAACAUUAAAAGAUGACUGAUACUAAUGGGAGAAAAAUACUAAAGACCCAAAAUUUAAAAUUUUCCUCUUUCUCAGCGUUUACAAACUUGGCUUUUGAGAAGGGAAAAAUCCUCUUUGCUAUUUCUGUAAGAAGAAUAACUGAGAUCAGCUAUUAUAUAGGUUUGCAUGGAUGGUGUCCACAAUACAAAUGUAAACUUGGACAGGAAUAGGAUAAAUAAAUACCCCUGAGAUUUCCAGUAAGGUAUUUGAAAGGAUUCCACUGGGAGGGCAGGGAAUAUAUUUUUUCUCAGAGCAUCCAGUUUGUACCCAGUUUUCUAUAUGGUUUGUGAACUGUAGCUUUUAAAAAAAAAUUUUGUAGUUUUCUUCUAACCUUAUUCAUUAAGUAGUUCCUUGUUUUGGCCCUUCUACUCUUGGCCUUAGCUAAAAGCAGUAAAUGUGAGUGAAUUUUAUGUUGAUUAUGUCACCUGGAUCUCCUUUCCUUCCCUUCUUUUUCUCAUUGAAUGGUGGUACCUUAAUUUGGGUAACAGCUAGCUUCUGGCACCUUCAUAAAAUACCUCAGAAUAGCUUAGCAUUGUUGCAAAACUGGUUUUAAACUAAAUAUGUUAGAAGGAAAACAUUGCUCGUGUGUGUGUUUGUUUUUUCUUAUAUCUGUCUUGCCAAAGGAAACUUGAUUUUCCCUGUGAUUGGCUUUGGCCUCUGUGGUCUGGUCUGCAGCAGUGUGUGGUGGCAUGCAGGUAACAUAUGGGGUGUCCAGUAGGUUCAGGGACCCUGAGGGUGCAUUUACAUCCCUUCCUAUGGUUGCCCAUGCCCCCCAGACCCUGCCAACCUCUCCUAAUGAUUCAUUACCUCUGUACAUAGCAAAAGCAUAGGCAAAGGAUGAAUGCGUGAAUGCCUGGAUGUGCAGUUGAGAAACAGAGGCAGACAUAGACAUGCACCAAUUAAUUUGGAGCCAAGAGGUGAGUGAUUGAUGUAUCUUAAAUCUAGGAAAGUUAAAGUGAAACAGGUUCUUUGUGUUGCCCUCUGUCAAGUUACUGAAUGUUGUGCUAAUAACACAACACUUUAAAACCUUACUUACUUUUCUCAUACCAAGGCUAGUUCUUUCUAGACCAAAAACACAAACAGGAUAAAAAGCAAACCAAGAAGUUGAAAGCUAACCUGCCCACCUCACCCCUGUGAUACAAAGUGUGAACCUUAAGGAUUAGUUGGUGGGAUUGAGGAGAGAAUUAUUCUUGGUGGGAACAUGAAUGAGAAAUGAUGCUGGCUUAGGAAAAAUCACAAGCCCUUUCUGCCCAUACUCUGGGACAAACUUUCUUGGCUCCCUGAGUUCGGAUAUAGACUGUAUCUCUAGAAAGGCUAUUUUUUUAAAUAAAUGAUCCCACAGAACUUAAGUGGGAUUUGGUUUAGAUACCAAAGACACUGCUAAUGUCAUUGCUUAUCCUUAAGUUUUCAAAACAGGCAGAGGGAAUAGGAGCAAAAAGCCAAAAUUUGGAAAAGCUUUACUUUAUCUCUUUCCUUCCCUUUUCCCCUUUUCCCAGUCCCCUGCUUUUUGAAGGAAGUCUUCUUGGUUAUCCUGGCUUUGGAAAAGAGAUUUAUUUUGUUUUGCUCUGCUGGCUCUUUAAAGAUGGAUAGUUGCUCAAUCUAGCAGUGAUGUUCUUGGAAUUGCUGAGAAAUUUGGGGAGGGCAAAAGAUAGGGGUAGAAUUUUUUCAUUAUUUCCCUUUAUCUAAUACUUUUAAAUAGAACCAACACAGCCUAUAUGAGUUCAGACAAUAUUUAGAUGUGGUAUCUCCAUCUGUCUCCUGUAAAAGAUAAGAAUUUUCAAGAACAGGAUUACGUGGAAAACCAAAAGAUCUUCCCUUACUCUCCUAUAAAUGUUUUGUUCCAAAUGUUUUUAUAUAUGGGCUCUAGGGAGUCAGGUAGUUCAUUGUUUCGGUGUACUAUUGAUAGGACACAGAAAGGGAGAGAGGGUAAAGAAAUGUAUCACUCUCUGAAUAUUGCAUCAAAAAUGAUUAGGUUGCAGAACUUCAUGAAAGCUUUACUAAUAAUCUUAUUGUUCUGACAUUAUGUAAAGGUGGUAUUAAUAUUGUAUGACUUGUCAAAGUGCUAGAUAGGUUUAUAAGUAGGUAAUAGGGAUGUUGAAGAUUAGAGCACUUGAAACAGAAGUUCUGGGAAAACAAGGUGUGUGUAAUGGAACACCACUUUGAGCACAGAAACAAAGGUCCCUUGGACCUGGUAGGGAAGAUGUGAUUUAUGAUUGUUUCUGUGUCCCUGUAUCUGCCCACCCUGCACAGGGCUCCACCACCCAGGGCCACCUUCUGGUUUAAACCCAGGACACUGUCAAAAAGUUAAGACCCCAAAACUAAUUUACUGUAAAAAACAUUGAGGACUGCUGCAAAGUUUUCCCUUGUUUUCUUUGUGUACUUGUUCAUCAUUGUAUAAGUUAGCCACAGCUUCACAAGAGCAGCUUAAGGCUUCUUUCAUAAAUUGGCAGUGGCAUUGAGUUCUCAAACAUUAUAUCCCAAAGUCUGCAGGCAGACAGCUGGAUACAGCGCUGUGUAUAAAUGAGACGUCCAAACACUUGAGUUUCUUAAGAUUGGGAUCUCUUUCAAAUGAAAAAGGACAGAGCCAAGUAGAGAAAAGACUUUGUGCUCCCACCCAGCCUUAAUGAGUCUCAUGGUCUAAAAGUAUAGGAAGAAAUGAAAUGCACUUUCAGAAGCUAAAAUGACAGUGUCUGCUACAAAAGGCUGUAGUUGUAGGCAGUCGGGGAUGCCAUGUCCUUGGUUCCAUUCCUGCGUGAGUCUGCAGAAGGCACACACUUUGUAAGAGUAGAGUGGACUAGUGCCAGCCUGAAUAGGUUUAAAACUGCAAACAGUUGGAGAACAUGGAACAGGUUGGUGCAGGAAGCCUAAGAUUUUGCAAUCAUAUUAUAACAUUGGCUUUUGACAACAUAAAUGUUGUAUCUUCCCUAAGGUCAGGUCGGGGAAAGAAAGACUUCCAGCUUCUUACCUCUGCGUGCAUGGGCACGUGUGCAUUGCUCAGUCCGCAGGAGGUCUCACUCCGCAGGAAACGCUCUCCUCCCGCAUAAGUCUGUACUUCCAUCCCCUCAUCUGUGGUAGUAGUGAAGGCUAGGUGAGUAAGCGUGGGCUGUUCUACCCACCAGAAGUCCAGGAGCUGUUGUAUACCUCAUUUCUAACUCGUGACCGAGUGACUUGCUUUAACUUUCUCGAAAUCCUACAGAGUUGCCAAGUCUGCCCUCCCUCCUCAGUCAUGUUAAACUCUGGCCUAUAGCAUCAUGGGACCUGUAGCCUAGGGUGGGACCCCCUAAAGCCUCUGAAUGUCGCUGCUUAAAAGCUACUGCAAACUGAGGGCAAAUUGCAAUCUUCUAUUCCUUUUUGUUGCAAGGGG
rnacentral:lncRNA from 1 species